CCUACGGGAGGCUGCAGUGGGGAAUAUUGGACAAUGGGCGAAAGCCUGAUCCAGCCAUGCCGCGUGUGUGAAGAAGGCCUUCGGGUUGUAAAGCACUUUCAGUGGGGAAGAAAGCCUUGGGGCUAAUACCCUCGAGGAAGGACAUCACCCACGGAAGAAGCACCGGCUAACUCCGUGCCAGCAGCCGCGGUAAUACGGAGGGUGCGAGCGUUAAUCGGAAUUACUGGGCGUAAAGCGCGCGUAGGCGGUCUGAUAAGCCGGUUGUGAAAGCCCCGGGCUCAACCUGGGAACGGCAUCCGGAACUGUCAGGCUAGAGUGCAGGAGAGGAAGGUAGAAUUCCCGGUGUAGCGGUGAAAUGCGUAGAGAUCGGGAGGAAUACCAGUGGCGAAGGCGGCCUUCUGGACUGACACUGACGCUGAGGUGCGAAAGCGUGGGUAGCAAACAGGAUUAGAUACCCGUGUAGUC
rnacentral:rRNA from 1 species